UACGUAGGGGGCAAGCGUUGUCCGGAUUUAUUGGGCGUAAAGAGCGUGUAGGCGGUUCGGUAGGUCCGUUGUGAAAACUCGAGGCUCAACCUCGAGACGUCCGGUGGAAACCUAUAGCAGAGUCCGGAAGAGGAGAGUGGAAUUCCUGGUGUAGCGGUGAAAUGCGCAGAUAUCAGGAAGAACACCCGUGGCGAAGGCGGCUCUCUGGACGGUACUGACGCUGAGACGCGAAAGCGUGGGGAGCAACAGG
rnacentral:rRNA from 1 species